rnacentral:lncRNA from 1 species
CUCAAAGUGCUGGGAUUACAGGCGUGAGCCACCACGCCCGGCCUCAUUUUCAUAUGGAAUUCUAUUUCAGAAAUAUGCCAAUUUAUCCAUUCUACUGUUGAUAGAUACAUGAAUUGUUUCCAGUUUUAAGCUAUUUCAAAUAUGCUAUUAUAAAAAUGGUAGAUAUUGCAUGAAUUUCUGUCAGGUAUACAGCUAGGAGUUAAAUGGCUGGGUCAGAGUUUAUUUGGCUUAACUAGAGAAUGCCAAAGUGGUUGUACUAAUUUUUCUUCCCACAGGCAGUGUAUGAGAGUUCCACUUGUUCUACACCCUCUCCAAUUCUUGAGGUUGUCAAUGUGGUUAGCCAUUCUGACCCAGGAACGAAAGCGCAGGGAGCAGAGGCUGGACCGUCCUCUGUCAGUUCCCUCGUUCCCCUGGAGUGGAGCUCUGAGCCCUGGGACCACAGAGUUGGCUGUUACACUGGAAACACUGAUCAGACCUUUGGACUCAGCUGAGAUAUUCACUGAGUGCAUAGUGUGUGCGCCAGGCCCUGUUCUGGGAGAUGACAGGCAAGGCCACUGACUUCGUGGAGCUCGCCCCCUAACGGUGAAGACAAACAGUGACUGACUAAGGAAAAAAAAAAAAGAACCCUGACGCUUGGCAUGGUCCAUGGCCCCCUCCACACAGCCAGUUGGCCAGGGAGCCGAGGCAGCCUGUAAACGCUCUGCCUGGAGCUGCUCGUAAACAAAAACAGAGUGAUCCACAAAAGGGCCCCAGAGUCUGGCACUGAAUGGAAUCCUACCUUCGGU